GGUUACUGCUAUCGGUGUCCGCCUAAGCCAUGCGAGUCAUAUGUUCGUAAGAACAUGGCGUACUGCUCAGUAACACGUGGAUAACCUGCCCUUGGGUCCGGCAUAACCCCGGGAAACUGGGGAUAAUUCCGGAUAACGCACAUAUGCUGGAAUGCUUUAUGCGUAAAAUGGAUUCGUCUGCCCAAGGAUGGGUCUGCGGCCUAUCAGGUAGUAGUGGGUGUAAUGUACCUACUAGCCUACGACGGGUACGGGUUGUGAGAGCAAGAGCCCGGAGAUGGAUUCUGAGACAUGAAUCCAGGCCCUACGGGGCGCAGCAGGCGCGAAAACUUUACAAUGCGGGAAACCGUGAUAAGGGGACACCGAGUGCCAGCAUCCUAUGCUGGCUGUCCGGGUGUGUAAAAUACACCUGUUAGCAAGGGCCGGGCAAGACCGGUGCCAGCCGCCGCGGUAACACCGGCGGCCCGAGUGGUGAUCGUGAUUAUUGGGUCUAAAGGGUCCGUAGCCGGUUUGGUCAGUCCUCCGGGAAAUCUGACAGCUUAACUGUUAGGCUUUCGGAGGAUACUGCCAGACUUGGAACCGGGAGAGGUAAGUGGUACUACAGGGGUAGGAGUGAAAUCUUGUAAUCCCUGUGGGACCACCUGUGGCGAAAGCGUCUUACCAGAACGGGUUCGACGGUGAGGGACGAAAGCUGGGGGCACGAACCGGAUUAGAUACCCGGGUAGUCCCAGCCGUAAACGAUGCUCGCUAGGUGUCAGGCAUGGCGCGACCGUGUCUGGUGCCGCAGGGAAGCCGUGAAGCGAGCCACCUGGGAAGUACGGCCGCAAGGCUGAAACUUAA
rnacentral:rRNA from 1 species